UACCUUGUUACGACUUAGCCCCAGUCAUCAGUCUUGCCCUAGGUCGCUCCUAAACGGUCACGAACUUCAGGCACUCCCGACUCCCAUGGCUUGACGGGCGGUGUGUACAAGGCCCGGGAACGUAUUCACCGCGCCAUGGCUGAUGCGCGAUUACUAGCGAAUCCAGCUUCAUGGAGUCGAGUUGCAGACUCCAAUCCGAACUGAGACAGGGUUUCGGGUUCCGCGCCCAAUCGCUUGGUGGCUUCCCGCUGUCCCUGCCAUUGUAACACGUGUGUCGCCCCGGACGUAAGGGCCGUGCUGAUUUGACGUCAUCCCCGCCUUCCUCACAGCUUGCGCCGGCAGUCUCGACAGAGUCCUCGACUCGACUCGUUAGCAACUGUCGAUAGGGGUUGCGCUCGUUAUGGCACUUAAGCCGACACCUCACGGCACGAGCUGACGACAACCAUGCAGCACCUCGCAUAAUGCCCCGAAGGGAAACAAUCUUUCAACUGUCGUCAUUAUGCGUUUGAGCCCGGGUAAAGUUCCUCGCGUAUCAUCGAAUUAAACCACAUGUUCCUCCGCUUGUGCGGGCCCCCGUCAAUUCCUUUG
rnacentral:rRNA from 1 species